rnacentral:lncRNA from 1 species
UUUAUCAAACAAGAAAACUUGAUGCUAUAGAAUGGCAGGGAUAUUGAUUGCUUAACCCUCAAUCUCCAACCUCACAAUAUCACAACGAAUAGAAGUUGAGAGGAGAAAAAUAUCAAACAGUUGAGAGUGUAGAGAGUUAAUUUGGUUAUAUGGGUCUCAUGACUCUUCUUCUUCUCUUGAUUCUUACAUCAAAUGGCCAAGAACAGUAGGUAAUGAAUGACAGAGAUGGAGAUGACACAAAAGGGGGGAAAGAGCAUGCGGGGUGUCAGCAAGUUUCUGCCGGUUGCAUUUGCUGCCGGCGGACUUGGUGUCACCGCUGCCACUGGUGCCGGAAUGGAUGGUUAUGGUAUCUUCCAUGACUAAACAUUCUUGUAUAAUCCUACGUGAUUUCCAAGCUUGUUAAUUAUUCGGAUAAGUAAGACACCUCUAUAUAUCGUUAAUUGUUUGAGCUUAAUGUGAUCAAUUUGUGUUUAGUGUCGGUAGUUGCUUUUCUGAAAUAAUUUAUUAUAAGAAAUACCCUGACAGUUAUGAUGUAGUUGUAAAAAUUUAACCAAUUCCUU